AAGUCGUAACAAGGUUUCCGUAGGUGAACCUGCGGAAGGAUCAUCAACAAUUAGACCGAUCAACGGUCUGUUUGAUAUUCUUGACGAGAUUGACCAGGAUAUGGUCUGAUCUUUGACUAAGCGGUCUGUUAGACCGUGAUGGUCUGAUCUUUGACUAAGCGGUCUGUUAGACCGUGAUGGUCUGGUCUUUGACUAAGCGGUCUGUUAGACCGUGACCGUCUGGACUUUUAUACCCCAAACUUUUACUGAACAGGAUUACAGACCGGUUGUGGUGUAAUGCCGCCGGUAUACAAACCAAUUUAAAACUUUCGGCAAUGGAUCUCUCGGCUCUCC
rnacentral:misc_RNA from 1 species